UACCAUUUGGAAACAGAUGCUAAUACCGGAUAAAAGCUACUUUCGCAUGAAAGAAGUUUAAAAGGCGGCGUAAAGCUGUCGCUAAAGGAUGGACCUGCGAUGCAUUAGCUAGUUGGUAAGGUAACGGCUUACCAAGGCGAUGAUGCAUAGCCCGAGUUGAGAGACUGAUCGGCCACAUUGGGACUGAGACACGGCCCAAACUCCUACGGGAGGCAGCAGUAGGGAAUCUUCCACAAUGGACGAAAGUCUGAUGGAGCAACGCCGCGUGAGUGAAGAAGGUUUUCGGCUCGUAAAGCUCUGUUGUUGGUGAAGAAGGACAGGGGGUAGUAACUGACCUUUGUUUGACGGUAAUCAAUUAGAAAGUCACGGCUAACUACGUGCCAGCAGCCGCGGUAAU
rnacentral:rRNA from 1 species